rnacentral:lncRNA from 1 species
UUUUGUAGCCAUGACUAUGGAAUAUAUGUUUUAAAGUAUUUGGAGAUGUGGGAUGGUGACAGGAAAUGAGGUGAUAGAACCAUGUCUGAUUUCACAUUGGUAAAAUUUUAACGAUUUGUCAACUUAACUGGUAUUUUAUUGAAAUAGAAAUAUAUAAAUUUAUGUGUAAUUGAUGUAUGUGUAGGAUGAAAUUCUACAUUUUCGUCGACAAUUUGUUUGUGAAUGGGUGUUGCAUCCUCAAAAUCUCGAGUUGAAACAUGUACGAGUAGAAGCAAGUCUGUCGGAUGACUUCUCAAUAGAUUCGCUUCAGUCUUGAUUGGGUAACUCAUCUAUCAUCUUUUUUUUUUUUUGCAUUGUGUGUUGUCAUUUUUUUGCAUUGUGAAUUUGAUGGUCCUUCAUAUCCAUGAUGUAUUGAUGUAUGUGUCCUUUUAAGUUUUUUGUUUUGUUGUCGGUAGUGACUUAACCAAAAGCGUGCCUCCUAAAUUAUUUGUAUUACAGAUAUAGGGAGAGUUUCACUCUCACAAUGCAGGGAAAUGUAAUUUUGUGCAAGAUUCCCAAAUGGUAAUUUAGGCGCAGUUGAAGUGACAAUGAAUCAAGUAACAAAUCAAGAAUCCUGAAGGUUGAGAUAAUGUCUGUUGUGAGUUAAGACUGUGAGCGGACAAAUAUUGAUGCUCAUAUUUCUGUGAGCGUGUCCUAAAUGUUUAUGCUUUUAUUUUGGCAUCUCAUUAUUUUG